rnacentral:rRNA from 1 species
GACAGAGGUGGCAAGCGUUGCUCGGAAUUACUGGGCUUAAAGGGCGCGUAGGCGGCUUUGUAAGUCUGAGGUGGAAUUCCAUAGCUUAACUAUGGAACUGCCUUGGAAACUGCAAGGCUUGAGUCAGGUAGAGGGAGGCGGAAUUUCCGGUGUAGCGGUGAAAUGCGUAGAUAUCGGAAGGAAGGCCGGUGGCGAAGGCGGCUUCCUGGGCUUGUACUGACGCUGAGGCGCGAAAGCGUGGGGAGCAAACAGG